GGGUUGGGGGGCGGGUAUGGGGGGGCAGUGUGGAGGCAGAGGUCAGCCUUGGCAGCUGUUGUCAGGAACAGCUCCAGAGAGAACAUGACACUUGGGUGAAAAUUUAUGGAGGAAGAAAAAAUGUGAAACUGAGAGUUCACUGAGAAUGGAUGAGGGGAGGAGUCCCUGGGGCAGCCAGACUGUGGGGUGCUAUAAGGAACAGAGAACACGGACAAGAGCCAAGGAGCCGGCCCAGUGAAACAGCAGGAGGACAAGGAGAAGCUGCAGGGUCCUUCUCUAGAAAGAUCCUCACGAACCCAGCAACAGAGAUUCUCUGUAAGGAGAAGAACUUGGGGACUCGAAGGCAAAGAUGGAAGACCUACCCUUCACACUCUAUCAAUUUCCUGCAUAUCUUGAAUUUUUAAACCAGGGAGAACAAAAAACAGAUGCUCAGCACCUUCUUAAACCCUUUCCUUGAGUAGCAUUAAUGGACAUGUUCCUUGCUGCCAAUAAGGAUGUGCCUCCGGGAGCUCCUCCCUGCGAAAACCAAGAGAAGGCCGUGGCUAUUCCUGCAGCGUCGAAUCCUCUCAUCACCCCAGUGCUUCUGUGCUUGCUGAACCUUCUCUUGAGGGCUGAUUCCUCCUCAAUCUUUGGGUUUCAACUCAAAAGUCACUUCUUCAGGGAGACACUCGCUCCCUGGCAUCCCUACAUAAAGCUGGCAUGACCCAACCUCCCAGGACUCUAUGACAGCACUCGUCUGCUUCAUAGCGUCAACUACAAAGGGAGAUCCUCUGCUUCAUUUGUUAACUUUAUUGUGUACUUUUACUAAUUAGACUGUAACCUACUUGAAGUCAAA